rnacentral:misc_RNA from 1 species
GAUGAAGAACGUAGCGAAAUGCGAUACUUGGUGUGAAUUGCAGAAUCCCGUGAACCAUCGAGUCUUUGAACGCAAGUUGCGCCCGAAGCCAUUAGGCCGAGGGCACGCCUGCCUGGGCGUCACACGUCGUUGCCCCCCCAUCUACUCCUUCGGGAUUGCGGGGGGCGGAUGAUGGCCUCCCGUGCGACGCGUCGCGCGGUUGGCAUAAAUGCCAAGUCCUCGGCGACGCACGCCACGACAAUCGGUGGUUGCGAAACCUCGGUUGCCCGUCGUGUGCGGUCGUCGCGCAUCGAGGGCUCGAAAAAAUUGCCGGGCUCCGGCUCGGCUUUCAACGCGACCCCAGGUCAGGCGGGGUUACCCGCUGAAUUUAAGCAUAUCAAUAAGCGGAGGA